GAUGAACGCUGGCGGCGUGCCUAAUACAUGCAAGUCGAGCGAACAGACGAGGAGCUUGCUCCUCUGACGUUAGCGGCGGACGGGUGAGUAACACGUGGAUAACCUACCUAUAAGACUGGGAUCAUUUCGGGAAACCGGCGCUAAUACCGGAUAAUCUAUUGAACCGCAUGGUUCAAUAGUGAAAGACGGUUUUGCUGUCACUUAUAGAUGGAUCCGCGCCGCAUUAGCUAGUUGGUAAGGUAACGGCUUACCAAGGCAACGAUGCGUAGCCGACCUGAGAGAGUGAUCGGCCACACUGGAACUGAGACACGGUCCAGACUCCUACGGGAGGCAGCAGUAGGGAAUCUUCCGCAGUGGGCGAAAGCCUGACGGAGCAACGCCGCGUGAGUGAUGGAGGUCUUCGGAUCGUAAAACUCUGUUAUUAGGGAAGAACAAAUGUGUAAGUAACUAUGCACGUCUUGACGGUACCUAAUCAGAAAGCCACGGCUAACUACGUG
rnacentral:rRNA from 1 species